rnacentral:lncRNA from 1 species
GCAAUAUAGAAAACAUCAUAAAUGCCUGCCAUCCCAAGUUAUUCAUACAAUGUAAAUAUUUGACACAUGACAUGCAAGAACUGAGCUCGAACACAGAUUCUAGUGUAGUGUUAUACACUGCUAUGGAACAACAUCUGCAUAAAUAUCGUAUGACUAAAUAUUCAAACAGUUUAAUUAGAAGAGGUGAUUUGCUAUGGAACAACAUUUGCAUAAAUAUCGUAUGACUAAAUAUUCAAACAGUUUAAUUAGAAGAGGUGAUUUGCUAUGGAACAACAUCUGCAUAAAUAUCGUAUGACAACAUCGUCUUCUGAUGUUCAGUGCCUUCAUCUCUAACUGUCCUCUUCCUUCUAUGUUCCAAUCCUAGGUUAGUGUAGCCAUGCAUACUACAUAAUACCGUAUUAAAAGAAAUCACAUGUCACUGAGAAGGCAAUUCAAUAUGGUGAUAUUAGUUUCCCUCUUUCCUUCUCAUGUGCUCCUGCCAAACACUCAAGCAUAUCAAGCAUUAUAACUAUGUAAAUAUUAAUGAAGAAACAAAACAUGUUGUGAUCUGGAAGAAAAAAAAUUGGUGCUCUUAAGUCUUAAAACACUUCCAUGGGCACCACUUUUUCUAGCACAAAUCAGUAAAUAUGGCGUUUCUUCAGGAAAAAAUGUAUUUUGUUAGAAGACACAAAUAUGUUUGUUGCAAAAAGUCCAGACUUUUUUAUUCUUUUUUUUGUUUCAC